UACGUAGGGUGCGAGCGUUAAUCGGAAUUACUGGGCGUAAAGCGUGCGCAGGCGGUUGUGCAAGACAGAUGUGAAAUCCCCGGGCUUAACCUGGGAACUGCAUUUGUGACUGCACGGCUAGAGUGUGUCAGAGGGAGGUAGAAUUCCACGUGUAGCAGUGAAAUGCGUAGAGAUGUGGAGGAAUACCGAUGGCGAAGGCAGCCUCCUGGGAUAACACUGACGCUCAUGCACGAAAGCGUGGGGAGCAAACAGG
rnacentral:rRNA from 1 species